CGCCUCGGUUGUAAACAUUAAGUCGACCAAAAUGUGUUAAUUAAAAUACAAACUUGGAGGAUUUAAUACUUCACUACGUCACUUUGACGGCUCCAAUACGCUGUUACUGUAGUGUUAAGACAACUACCAUAUUGCAGCCUCGCUGAUCAUGGUUAAUGAAGUUCCUCGUGUCAUUGGUCGAGGACGGUGACGUGAAGAUGUAAGAUAUGGGCCACAAGAUGAAGGUUUGUUUUGGUUAACGGGUCUCAUGCUGCACCACAUUGGAAACUCUCUGCUGUAACAUAAGGUACAGUACAGUGUAUAUCUUUGUGGUUUUAGUUUUUAU